rnacentral:rRNA from 1 species
AUUGAACGCUGGCGGCAUGCCUUACACAUGCAAGUCGAACGGUAACAGGUCUUCGGAUGCUGACGAGUGGCGAACGGGUGAGUAAUACAUCGGAACGUGCCCGAUCGUGGGGGAUAACGGAGCGAAAGCUUUGCUAAUACCGCAUACGAUCUACGGAUGAAAGCAGGGGACCGCAAGGCCUUGCGCGGACGGAGCGGCCGAUGGCAGGUUAGGUAGUUGGUGGGAUAAAAGCUUACCAAGCCGACGAUCUGUAGCUGGUCUGAGAGGACGACCAGCCACACUGGGACUGAGACACGGCCCAGACUCCUACGGGAGGCAGCAGUGGGGAAUUUUGGACAAUGGGCGCAAGCCUGAUCCAGCCAUGCCGCGUGCAGGAUGAAGGCCUUCGGGUUGUAAACUGCUUUUGUACGGAACGAAAAGACUCUGGUUAAUACCUGGGGUUCAUGACGGUACCGUAAGAAUAAGCACCGGCUAACUACGUGCCAGCAGCCGCAGUAACAC